AAUAAAUCAAUAACAGAGAAUAUCAUAGAGAGGAAAGAUAGAAAUUAAU
rnacentral:guide_RNA from 1 species